UAGGGAAUGUUGCACAAUGGGCGAAAGCCUGAUGCAGCAACGCCGCGUGUGUGAUGAAGGCCUUCGGGUCGUAAAGCACUUUUCUGGGAGAUGAGAAAGGACAGUAUCCCAGGAAUAAGUCUCGGCUAACUACGUGCCAGCAGCCGCGGUAAAACGUAGGAGGCAAGCGUUAUCCGGAUUCACUGGGCGUAAAGCGCGUGCAGGCGGUGCGGUAAGUUGGGCGUGAAAUCUCCCGGCUCAACUGGGAGAGGUCGUCCAAUACUACCGUACUUGAGAGCAGAAGAGGAAGAUGGAAUUCCCGGUGUAGUGGUGAAAUGCGUAGAUAUCGGGAGGAACACCAGUGGCGAAGGCGAUCUUCUGGUCUGUUUCUGACGCUCAGACGCGACAGCUAGGGUAGUAAACGGGAUUAGAGACCCCGGUAAUCCUAGCCGUAAACGAUGUGAACUUGGCGUUGGUGGUUAAACUCCAUCAGUGCCGCAGCAAACGCGGUAAGUU
rnacentral:rRNA from 1 species